GGGCCAUCCAAUCGAUAGAUUGAACCGUGAAGAUGAAACCAUACUGCCUGAUUUCGACCGCCGAACUCACGAGCAGUAUAUAGAGGUGUCCUGCGCCUCUGGAGCCAGCAGUAUACGUUGAAGAGGGCAUUUUAGGAAGAUCAUAUUUUGUAGCAAGCCAGACUCCAUCUCCUACCCGUCCGUUCGUCCCCUAACUAAAAAAAAAAGCAGAUCCCCUCGCUCUGUUUCCGGCCGCCAUGGACCUGCACCCCCGUAGUCCCUCCUCUCUCUUCGUCUUGAGCAGCGGUGGAGACAGGAACCACCCUUCCGAGCCAGGUCUGGCCGCCGCCAACGCGCACCCCCUAUCCCCUCCUCCUUGGUCGAUUUGAAUGGCCCCUACGAACUAGGGUUCCGGCCGUCGCCGAUGCGGACCAUCGUGGCGCAGCUGGUCGAUCUUUGGCCAGGAUGAUCCGCAGCCAUGAAGGUUUAGGAGGGCCGCGCGUCCCAGCCGGUCAAGCAUUGGGCCGAGGCAGAGGCGGUGUCGCCGGAAUAAGCUGCAGGUGGCCGAGGCAGAGGCGAUGUCUCCGGCGGUUGCCGCCGAGCACGUCGACGAAGCUGCAGGUGGCCGAGGCAGAGGCGGUGUCGCCGGUGGUUGCCGCUGAGCUCGGAAACGAAGCUGCAGGUGGCCGAACCCACUGGCACAGCUCUUCUCAGACGGUGUCCCGGGCCAACAGGGCAGACCAUGGUUGGCGGCGGAGUUAGAGCGGCGGAAGUUGCAGAAUGCACCGUCGCCCAGCUGCAGCGCCGCCUCCUUCUGCCGCAAAUUGGGUUGAGUGGCCUUACACAUCAAACCUCCAUGAUCAUCACUCUUGUCGCGGCGUCGAGGUCUGGUGGAUGACGGCUGUUGCCCUGCAGAGUUUCCAACGACGACAGCAGUGAUGAAGCGUGCAGCAUGCAGCAUACAGCGAUGAGGCUGUGCCGCUAUAAUCCGAGCAUAUUACUUAGGUGAUGAUGAUGAAAGUGUUUUCUAGGAGCUGGGCGAAGGAAUGACCCCAUGAACCUUUUUUAGGAGCAUCAAAAAGUUAUACUUGGCCAAAAUAUUUCUUGUACAAAUAAAGAGGCAUGUGUUUUAGCUCCAUUCUGUGAGCUUAUAUUUAAGUGUGUGUUCAUGUAGCA